rnacentral:rRNA from 1 species
CCAGACUCCUACGGGAGGCAGCAGUGAGGAAUAUUGGUCAAUGGGCUUACGCCUGAACCAGCCAAGUCGCGUGAGGGAAGACUGCCCUAUGGGUUGUAAACCUCUUUUGUCAGGGAGCAACGCCGGCUACGUGUAGCCGGACUGAGAGUACCUGAAGAAAAAGCAUCGGCUAACUCCGUGCCAGCAGCCGCGGUAAUACGGAGGAUGCGAGCGUUAUCCGGAUUUAUUGGGUUUAAAGGGUGCGUAGGCGGAAUAUCAAGUCAGCGGUAAAAAUUCGGGGCUCAACCCCGUCGUGCCGUUGAAACUGAUGUUCUUGAGUGGGCGAGAAGUAUGCGGAAUGCGUGGUGUAGCGGUGAAAUGCAUAGAUAUCACGCAGAACUCCGAUUGCGAAGGCAGCAUACCGGCGCCCAACUGACGCUGAAGCACGAAAGCGUGGGUAUCGAACAGGAUUAGAUACCCGCGUA